rnacentral:rRNA from 1 species
UACGUAGGGUGCGAGCGUUGUCCGGAAUUAUUGGGCGUAAAGAGCUUGUAGGCGGUUUGUCGCGUCUGCCGUGAAAAUUCGAGGCUCAACCUCGAACUUGCGGUGGGUACGGGCAGACUAGAGUGUGGUAGGGGAGACUGGAAUUCCUGGUGUAGCGGUGAAAUGCGCAGAUAUCAGGAGGAACACCGGGUGGCGAAGGCGGGACUCUGGGCCGAUACUGACGGCUGAGGAGCGAAAGCGUGGGGAGCAAACAGG